CCAAUGCUUUCACUUUGACUGCCAAGAUCAACCCAAAAAAAAUUACGUCAAAUCAUUCUGGAGGGGAAACGAAAAGAAAUUAAGCAUUUGCAUGGUAAUCGAGUGACUUUUAAGAAAUAGAGGAGUUCACAAAGAGAACUACACGCAGUUGGUUUCUUCAGGUUCAGAUAUGGAAAAUCUUUUGCAAUGUGUCUUGCCUACGGUUUUUCAUAUAAAUACUCCAAGAAGAUUAUUCUCAUUGCUUAAAGGGAUAAUAAGGUUGCUCCAGAUCUUCUCUCUCUGCUUGAUCCUCUUUAGCUCCAGAAGCAAGGAAAUUUGGAGAAUCUAUCUCCAAACUAUCUGAUGCAGCCAAGAGAAGAUCAUCACCGAGAAACAUUGAGGGCGAUUUUGCUUCCUUCGGU